GUCCCCAUCGUCUAGAGGCCUAGGACUCCGGCCUCUCACGCCGGCAACAGGGGUUCGAAUCCCCUUGGGGACGCCA
rnacentral:tRNA from 1 species